GACGAACGCUGGCGGCGUGCCUAAUACAUGCAAGUUGAGCGAUGAAGAUUGGUGCUUGCACCAAUUUGAAGAGCAGCGAACGGGUGAGUAACGCGUGGGGAAUCUGCCUUUGAGCGGGGGACAACAUUUGGAAACGAAUGCUAAUACCGCAUAACAACUUUAAACAUAAGUUUUAAGUUUGAAAGAUGCAAUUGCAUCACUCAAAGAUGAUCCCGUGUUGUAUUAGCUAGUUGGUGAGGUAAAGGCUCACCAAGGCGAUGAUACAUAGCCGACCUGAGAGGGUGAUCGGCCACAUUGGGACUGAGACACGGCCCAAACUCCUACGGGAGGCAGCAGUAGGGAAUCUUCGGCAAUGGACGAAAGUCUGACCGAGCAACGCCGCGUGAGUGAAGAAGGUUUUCGGAUCGUAAAACUCUGUUGGUAGAGAAGAACGUUGGUGAGAGUGGAAAGCUCAUCAAGUGACGGUAACUACCCAGAAAGGGACGGCUAACUACGUG
rnacentral:rRNA from 1 species